rnacentral:rRNA from 1 species
GACGAACGCUGGCGGCGUGCUUAACACAUGCAAGUCGAACGGAAAGGCCCUGCUUUUGUGGGGUGCUCGAGUGGCGAACGGGUGAGUAACACGUGAGUAACCUGCCCUUGACUUUGGGAUAACUUCAGGAAACCGGGGCUAAUACCGGAUAGGAGCUCCUGCUGCAUGGUGGGGGUUGGAAAGUUUCGGCGGUUGGGGAUGGACUCGCGGCUUAUCAGCUUGUUGGUGGGGUAGUGGCUUACCAAGGCUUUGACGGGUAGCCGGCCUGAGAGGGUGACCGGCCACAUUGGGACUGAAAUACGGCCCAGACUCCUACGGGAGGCAGCAGUGGGGAAUAUUGCACAAUGGGCGGAAGCCUGAUGCAGCAACGCCGCGUGCGGGAUGACGGCCUUCGGGUUGUAAACCGCUUUCGCCUGUGACGAAGCGUGAGUGACGGUAAUGGGUAAAGAAGCACCGGCUAACUACGUG